GUGGGGAAUAUUGGACAAUGGGCGAAAGCCUGAUCCAGCCAUGCCGCGUGUGUGAAGAAGGCCUUUUGGUUGUAAAGCACUUUAAGCGAGGAGGAGGCUACCGAGAUUAAUACUCUUGGAUAGUGGACGUUACUCGCAGAAUAAGCACCGGCUAACUCUGUGCCAGCAGCCGCGGUAAUACAGAGGGUGCAAGCGUUAAUCGGAUUUACUGGGCGUAAAGCGCGCGUAGGUGGCCAAUUAAGUCAAAUGUGAAAUCCCCGAGCUUAACUUGGGAAUUGCAUUCGAUACUGGUUGGCUAGAGUAUGGGAGAGGAUGGUAGAAUUCCAGGUGUAGCGGUGAAAUGCGUAGAGAUCUGGAGGAAUACCGAUGGCGAAGGCAGCCAUCUGGCCUAAUACUGACACUGAGGUGCGAAAGCAUGGGGAGCAAACAGGAUUAGAUACCCUGGUAGUCC
rnacentral:rRNA from 1 species